UACGGGGGGAGCAAGCGUUGUUCGGAUUUACUGGGCGUAAAGGGCGCGUAGGCGGUCGUGACAAGUCACUUGUGAAAUCUCCGGGCUUAACUCGGAACGGUCAAGUGAUACUGUCGGACUAGAGUACAGAAGGGGCAACUGGAAUUCUCGGUGUAGCGGUGAAAUGCGUAGAUAUGACAUAGAACACCAAUUGCGAAGGCAGCUCACUACACGAAUAUUGACACUGAGGCACGAAAGCGUGGGGAUCAAACAGG
rnacentral:rRNA from 1 species